GGCGAGGAGCCGGUUUCAGAGGGUGCGGGGAGCGGGGGGGGCCGGGGGGGGCCGGGGGGCCGGGGCGCGGAGGACAGCGGGUCCAGUACAACCAGUCCGACCGCCGCGCCAGGUCGCCGUCUGCCAUUUCAAGCACACGCACGUCCGCAACCGGGAAAAGAGCGUCCCUCAGCUGGGCAGGUCCUUCGUCCCCGAGCGAGGACAUCCCGCGGGCUGGCCUCCGGAAAACAGCGGGUUUCGGACAAGAGACGUCACAAGCACAAAGUGCACAAUAUUUCUGGUAUUUACAGAGACACAGCAGUCCUUCAAGUUUCAAGUUUCGUCAAAAAGAAGGAGGAAAUAAAACAACAACAACAAAAAAAAA